rnacentral:lncRNA from 1 species
CGGAGCUAACAAAUUGGCAGCCAACAUAACGUGUAAGAGCAAAACCUUUUUUAUUUUCAAUCGACACAAAGGAAGUCAAAGCGGACACCUACGAAGAUGGCAUCUCAGCGAGCUGAUCAAGGGGUUGAAAAUGUAGAUAUUGCCAGAUGUUCACUGUCCGAGGAACAGGCCACGGAAGCUUUAUUGCUGGCAAAAGUGUCCUUAACCAGAGGUUAUAUCAGCUGUUUUGGUGAACCCCUCCCGCAUGUGAACUGGCUGACACAGAGGGCACGAUCAUAGGUGUAAUGUCACUUGGUCGGGUCACCAGGAAGUAUUAUUAAGAGAUGCUUUACACUGAAAUACAGACAGAUGUAGUAGUCCCAGAGUAAAUGAUCCAAGGUGACUAAAAUUAUGUCAAUUAGCCUAUCAGAAGUUUCUAAAUCCAUGACAUAAUUUUCUGGAUAUUUCCAAACUGUUUAAAGGCACAGUCAAUUUAGUGUAUGUCAACUUCUGACCCACUGGAAUUGUGAUACAGUGAAUUAUAAGUGAAAUAAUCUGUUUGUAAACAAUUGAUCGAAAAAUUACUUGCACAAAGUAGAUGUCCUAACUGACUUACCAAAACUGUAGUUUGUUAACAAGAAGUUUGUGGAGUG